CCCACCCCCACCCUCCAUCCCCCACCCCCACCCUCCAUCACCGACCCACGCCCCUGGAAAACCUGGCUCGUCAAGGCCGUGAGCAUUUGUGGUCACAGAGGAUUCGGGUCGGUGCUGGUGAGGUCCCCAAGGCCAGCACUCGGAAAACCAACAGUAAAACGGAGGCCUCAGCCAGAGGAGAGCGAAAGCUCCACUCGCCAUCCUUCUAAAACGGCCGCGCGGCUGCUGUGUUUGAAGAUCCCACCAGAGGGUCAGUUGGAAGCCAGUGAACGCAUCUCCACACAGGAGCCACCCCGUCGAGGGAGGUCCAGGCCAGGACGGGCCACGCUUCCAGGCCCACGGAGUGCUCUUCCCUGGAGGGGUCCCUGCAGAAGGCGUGCAUCCGUGCAGACGGCUAUGCGGAUCGGCUGAGAGCACCCGGUCCCCGGUCCCCGGUCCCACGCCUCCCGCAGCGGCCGGCGGAGGGCGCUGGUCCUCCGGGGCCGUGUCCCUGGUGCGGCGCAGAGGCGGCCGCAGGUGGCGUCGGCUUGAAGGCACUGGCGCCGCUCACCUGGCGACGGAGGAAGUCACGCUCCCAUUCGUUGUGGUGCAGCCUCUCUAACGGCCACUCACACGUCCGGGUCCGCGCACCCGCGUUCUCCCAGCGGCACAGCCACCCAGCAGCUCGGCAUCCUGUGGCCUUUCACGUGGGCUCGUGGAGGCGUCAGGCGUGCUUGCUGUGUCCGUGGGCUCACCCGCCUGCACAGAGGACAGCCCGCGCGGCCUAGAAGGUUCCAGAAGCCGCCAACCAGAGUGUGAAGCCGCCUCCUCCGGGGGAUGCCCCCAGGACCCGCGCCAGCAAGUCUGUUCAACCGGCGUCUUCACGGCCUUGACUUGCCAUCGCAGAGGGCAGCCCUCGGCCACAGUCACCGGCCGCCUGGUCCCGCGCUGAGGCCACGAAGGAGACCGGCCUCCCCACCUCCCAACUGCAGCAGCUCCAGCUCGGCUGCCUGGUCCCUCCGCCCAUCCCGCACCCCUUGGCAUCUCUGCAGCUUGUGGGCAAGGCCCUGCGGGUGCCGCUCCCAGUGCUGGCGACAGCGGGAUCCACAACAGUGACUGCCGGGCCGGUCCUUCCUCCCGCCCUGCUCCCCGGUCCCUGCGACCUUCCCCGGCGGGGGUGCAGCUGCGCAAGUCAUGCCAGGGAGCCCCGAGCGCACCCCCAUUGGACGGGCCCCUGCUUUGCACUUCAGGGCCCAGGACGGCUCAGCCGGAGCUGCUGUGCUGCUUACGAAGGCAAGGGCGGCCAGGACUGUGGCGGGUCCGGGACCGGCAGAGCCCGAGGCACAGGCCCCUUGUGUGCUGUGAGACGGGAGGGAACUGUCGGCCCGGCCACUGGUGUCCCAGAGCCACCGCAACUCAGCUACCUCAACACAGAGUCCGCAGGCGCCGGCUCAGCGAAGGUGCUCGAACCCCUGCGGCCCGACCUGCCGAUGAGGACUCCAGGCUGCAGGCCGCCCCGCCCCCACCACACGCAGACACGGCAGGACAAGUGACUUUUAAAGGAGCUUCUGUUGUUUAAAGGGAGCAUCAGACGCGUGUGCAGAGGCUGCUGUGGGCGUAGUGGGGCCGAGCGGGGGCGAGACGGGGCUGGCGCAGCAGGAAGGCCAGGCCCGCGACACCCAGGCGAGGCCGCCCACAGCGCCGCCUGCCGCAGCCACGCACAAGCCGGGCUGGGGCUCCUGCUCGGGCUCUGAGAGAGGGGCCUCCCCCGGGGUCUGCCCGGGCUCACCUGCGCCUCUCUGCCCGGCUCCAGGCGCCUCCCGCCUCCCGCUCGCUUUGCAAACCAGUGACACGGGCACAGGGGCCGCCUUUCCCCGUGGUCCCGCCUCGGGAGUGUCUCAGGAACGCUGUCUAAAUGCGGGUCCACUGUUUCAACCAGCGAGGCCAGCACGCCCGGCUGACACGGACUCGACCAGUGGCCUGGCCUGCGGUCGGGGGCUUCCAGGGACCAGGGAAGCAGCCCCUUCCAAGUACCUCUCACCCCACUGCAGGUGUGACAAGCAGCGUGGACUCGCGCCUGCAGGGCUGGCCGCGCCUCCUGACCGCGGGCUCCGAGGCAUGGAGUCCGCGCUUCCCUCCAAGUCCAGGGGCGUCCCCCGGGCGGGUCCUCCUUGGAGCGAAGAUCAGGCUCCCAAGGUCGAGGUCCACGUUUCUGCCGAGACAUACACAUUUUUAGGUGCCAUUUUAAUCGACUUCAAGAAAAUGGUCACUGACCCCCCACCUAUGGAGCAGGAGCAGGAGACAAAGGCAAUGCAUUUGGUCUGAAUCGGGCGUUGUAUUUCCCUGGGACAGUGAUGGCGAACCUAUGACACGCGUGUCAGAGGUGACACGCGAACUCAUUUUUUUGGUUGAUUUUUCUUUGUUAAAUGGCAUUUAAAUAUAUAAAAUAAAUAUCAAAAAUAUAAGUUUUUGUUUUACUAUGGUUGCAAAUAUCAAAAAAUUUCUAUAUGUGACACGGCACCAGAGUGAAGUUAGGGUUUUUCAAAACGCUGACACGCCGAGCUCAGAAGGUUCGCCAUCACUGCCCUGGGAGCUAUACUCCGUCUAACAACUAAAGUGUGAUACUGGGCGCUAAAAGAUGUCUCCUUGGUCUCGUUUUAAUAAUUCCGUAAUGCUUUCCGUCACGCUGUUUUUGUGGAAUGCAGCCAUUUCUUAAACUUUACUUCGGUAGGGCGGGCCACAGGCACAUUAAAAAGUAAAAACAAAAGAAAAUGGCCCGAGAGCAGGAGGGAGGCCGCCCCGGCCCCUCCGCGCUGCUCCCCCCGCGCGGGCGCCUUCUCCCAUCUGGCGGGGGUCGCCCCUGACCAUGUGCUUCUCCAAAUUUCAGCAGGAGACACAAGAAAUAUCACCGCUUCCUCCCCCCAACGCCCCAGGCGAGGGGGUGGCAUGCCAAGUGACUGGCCCAGCGGGAAUGCAGCCGCGUCCCGUGGGAAUCUUGGCAACGGCACCCCUGGGCAAGGGCACAUGGUGACUGAAGCAACUGGUGACAUCAGGGACUUCGGUGGCCCCGGUUGUGAAAUGCAUCGCCUGCAAAAACACCGAAGCAACAUCCGUUUCUCACAUCAGGGACAGCACAUUCAGGCCUGGGUCUGGUCUUCCUCUCUCUCUCUCUCUCUCUUAAAAUAGGUUCGCUAUUUGAGUCAAAUGUGAGAGGGCUCCAUGUUUUCCUCCAGAGCAGGGAACACCGCGGCCUCCUCGCCCACCCACUGCCCUACCCCAUCACAAUGCACUACAGUGCCCCACCUCCCGGGACAGGAGCCGGGGGAGGGCCUCACUCCCCUGGAGACAAGUGACUGGCCCGUCCUCUCCGGUGAAACCACUCGCUUUGCGGGAAUGUCGUCUCGUUUCAGAAGCACAGUCGGCCUGGGCCUCCUUCCAGGCCUAGGAGAACGUACCUCAGGAGGCAUGGCGGCCACGCACUCGCUCGGCCCGACAGCAGUAUGUGUGGUCCCGCAUCACUGCCUUUUCUACACUGUUCGGUGGAAAGAACCAUGUGACUAGCUGUAUCUUCCAUACUGUGAUUUGAAUUUUUUUAAAUCCUAAUAUAAAUAUUUUACUAACUUACAAUCAUGUGUCUAAUAAGAAAUGUCUGGGUUUUUUGGAAUCAGUGUUAAUGGACGUAUCCUCUUCCUGGCCUGGCUGGGGGUGGAGCUGAAGCGUCAGGACGGAGGCAGACCCGCGCGCACAUGCCCCGAGCCACAGAGCUUAUGUCGCGUGAGUCUGUCCCCUGCCGCCCGGCACGUGCAAGCACAGCGGCCACCCUAGCCCCGGGCGAGACGCCACCCACUGCACAGCAGUGUCUCGCCAGGCCGGGCCUCCGCAGGGAACUCGGGCUGUGGGUUUUUACCAAAGAACUGCGCCCUCUCCCGUGUCCUGGUGGAACAUGGGCACCGGCUGGUUGCCUGGCAGCCUCAGGUGGCCCAACCCGAAGCAGAAAGCAGGAACCGCGGGCCAGGAGUCCCCCCCACCCCCACCCCCGUUUUCCCAGAUCUUGGCUAAGUUCCCCCUGGGGUGCACCUGUCCCGCCCGGGGCCCGGGUCCAAGUCAGGCCACACAGAUCUCCACAGGCCUGAGCUUCGUCCCCUGGCGCGGGCUGUCGCCACCGUUCCUGGGUGCCUUGUACUCAGCCUUUGGGGGCUGCUGGACCCUGGUUUCUGUGCUGCACGGAGACGCUCCCACACAGACCCUCCCAGCGGGCAACACGUCCACCCCGGGCACUCGCUCUCUGGUCUGGGUGGGUCCAGGGCCCCGCGCAGCGGGGUGCAGGGAGCAGCCAAGGGCACAGGGCAUCCUGCUCACCGCGUCCCCUGAUCGUGGUGCCAGGCAAUUAGGAAACGGCUAUAAAAUAACUAAUUUUUCAAAAUCUUGGGUCCUAUUCACUUUCCCAUUAGGAAACUGAACUGGUCAUGUAUAUUGACUUAUAUCCUGACUCUGUGGUAACUUACAUAAUUGGAAUGUCCUACUGUAAGACUGAUGAAUGUAAAGAGUUAAUUUCAGGGUACCAUUUGCCUUAAUGGUUUUAAAAAUAAACUAUUUUUAAAAAUUA